rnacentral:rRNA from 1 species
AGACGAACGCUGGCGGCGUGCCUAAUACAUGCAAGUCGUACGCUUCUUUUUCCACCGGAGCUUGCUCCACCGGAAAAAGAAGAGUGGCGAACGGGUGAGUAACACGUGGGUAACCUGCCCAUCAGAAGGGGAUAACACUUGGAAACAGGUGCUAAUACCGUAUAACAAUCGAAACCGCAUGGUUUUGAUUUGAAAGGCGCUUUCGGGUGUCGCUGAUGGAUGGACCCGCGGUGCAUUAGCUAGUUGGUGAGGUAACGGCUCACCAAGGCCACGAUGCAUAGCCGACCUGAGAGGGUGAUCGGCCACAUUGGGACUGAGACACGGCCCAAACUCCUACGGGAGGCAGCAGUAGGGAAUCUUCGGCAAUGGACGAAAGUCUGACCGAGCAACGCCGCGUGAGUGAAGAAGGUUUUCGGAUCGUAAAACUCUGUUGUUAGAGAAGAACAAGGAUGAGAGUAACUGUUCAUCCCUUGACGGUAUCUAACCAGAAAGCCACGGCUAACUACGUGCCAGCAGCCGCGGUAAUACGUAGGUGGCAAGCGUUGUCCGGAUUUAUUGGGCGUAAAGCGAGCGCAGGCGGUUUCUUAAGUCUGAUGUGAAAGCCCCCGGCUCAACCGGGGAGGGUCAUUGGAAACUGGGAGACUUGAGUGCAGAAGAGGAGAGUGGAAUUCCAUGUGUAGCGGUGAAAUGCGUAGAUAUAUGGAGGAACACCAGUGGCGAAGGCGGCUCUCUGGUCUGUAACUGACGCUGAGGCUCGAAAGCGUGGGGAGCAAACAGGAUUAGAUACCCUGGUAGUCCACGCCGUAAACGAUGAGUGCUAAGUGUUGGAGGGUUUCCGCCCUUCAGUGCUGCAGCUAACGCAUUAAGC